rnacentral:rRNA from 1 species
AGGGUUUGAUCCUGGCUCAGGGUGAACGCUGGCGGCGUGCCUAACACAUGCAAGUCGAUCGGAGCAGCAAUGCUUAGAGGCGAACGGGUGAGGAAAACGUAGUAACCAACCCUUUAGACUGGGAUAGCCACUGGAAACGGUGGGUAAUACCGGAUAAGCUCGAGAGAGGAAAGGCAGAGAAGCGCUAAAGGACGGAACUGCGCCCCAUCAGAUAGUUGGUGAGGUAAAGGCUUACCAAGUCAAAGACGGGAAACCGACGUGAGAGCGUGUACGGUCACAAGGGCACUGAGAGACGGGCCCUACUCCUACGGGAGGCAGCAGUGGGGAAUAUUGGACAAUGGACGAAAGUCUGAUCCAGCGACGCCGCGUGGAGGAAGAAGUCCUUCGGGAUGUAAACUCAUGAAGCUAACGAAUAAGACGGAAGGGGAACCUUCCGGGAGAAGGUAAUUAGUGAAAAGCCCCGGCUAACUACGUGCCAGCAGCCGCGGUAAUACGUAGGGGGCGAGCGUUGCCCGGAAUUACUGGGCGUAAAGGGAACGUAGGUGGCUCUUAAAGUCAGGUGUGAAAAUAACGAAGCUUAACAGGUUAAUGCGCUUGAAACUAAAGGGCUUGAGGGCAAUAGAGGGAGAUGGAAUUACCUGUGUAGGGGUGAAAUCCGCAGAUAUAGGUAAGAAGGCCGGUGGGGAAGCCGAUCUCCUGGGUUGACUCUGACACUGAGGUUCGAAAGCUAGGGGAGCAAACCGGAUUAGAUACCCGGGUAGUCCUAGCCGUAAACGAUGCUCACUGGGUGUGGGUCGAAAAGAUCUGUGCUGAAGCUAACGCGAUAAGUGAGCCGCCUGGGGAGUACGUCCGCAAGGAUGAAACUCAAAGGAAUUGAC